ACGCUCGACACCUACGGGACAGCAGUGGGGAAUAUUGCACAAUGGGGGAAACCCUGAUGCAGCGACGCCGCGUGAGCGAAGAAGUAUUUCGGUAUGUAAAGCUCUAUCAGCAGGGAAGAAAAUGACGGUACCUGACUAAGAAGCCCCGGCUAACUACGUACCAGCAGCCGCGGUAAUCUGAGCGGGCGUGGCAAGGC
rnacentral:rRNA from 1 species